rnacentral:rRNA from 1 species
GUGAGGAAUAUUGGGCAAUGCCCGCAAGGGUGACCCAGCAACGCCGCGUGGAGGAUGAAUGUCGUAAGAUUGUAAACUCCUGUUAGAGGGGAAGAAUAGUACCGGUUGGACCGGUAUAUGACUGUACCCUCAGAGAAAGCCCCGGCUAACUACGUGCCAGCAGCCGCGGUAAUACGUAGGGGGCAAGCGUUGUCCGGAUUUACUGGGUGUAAAGGGCGCGCAGGCGGGAUAAAAAGUCAGUGGUGAAAUCCUACAGCUUAACUGUAGAACUGCCUUUGAUACUUUUAUUCUUGAGUUCGGGAGAGAGAGACGGAAUUCCAGGUGUAGUGGUGAAAUACGUAGAUAUCUGGAAGAACACCAGUUGCGAAGGCGGUCUCUUGGUCCGACACUGACGCUGAGGCGCGA